rnacentral:rRNA from 1 species
AUUGAACGCUGGCGGCAGGCCUAACACAUGCAAGUCGAGCGGAGCGGCAGACGGGUGAGUACUUCCUAGGAAUCUGCCUGGUAGUGGGGGAUAACGUCCGGAAACGGGCGCUACUACCGCAUACUAUCAGAUGAGCCUAGGUCGGAUUAGCUAGUUUGGGGGGUAAAGGCCUACCAAGGCGACGAUCCGUAACUGGUCUGAGAGGAUGAUCAGGAACACUGUAACGGAGAAACGGUCCAGACCCCGACGGUAGGCAGAAGUGGGGAAUAUUGGACAAGGGGCGAAAGGCUGAUCCAGCCAUGCCGCGUGUGUGAAGAAGGUCUUCGGAUUGUAAAGGACUUUAAGUUGGGAGGCGGUACCAACAGAAUAAGCACCGGCUAACUUCGUGCCAGCAGCCGCGGUAAUAC